CAUUCAUAGCUCAGUUGGUUAGAGCACUCACUUUAAAGUAAAUGGGAGGUCUUGAGUUCAAUCCUCAAUGAAUUCCAUGA